CCCGCACCAGGCCCCAGGCCUGCACCCCAAGGGCCACUCCUGGAUCCAGGAAACACCUCUUUUUACAGCGGGGACAGGGCAACCAGAGAGGCCGUGAACCCCGCCCACGGGCACCCACCAAACUACCGGGGAGGGACAGGACGAAGUGAGCCACAUGAGGAGCUUUGAUUCCAAUUCCAGCGCCGCUGGUUGGUCGCUAGCAGUUAAAACCUCCGAUGUCUUCGCAUCAGCUUUGCAGCUGUGGCUUGAGAAGCUGUGGAGUGUGUUUGGCUCGCUCAGAGCAUGAGGCCUGAUGAAGGGGUGUGUCCAGCUUGCAAAGAUGUCUCUGGGCCUGGAUGGGAACCCCUUGUUCUGGCACAGUGGGUGAACAAGGCCUCUCCUCCCGUCCCCACCUUUCCUGAUGCUGGCAACACCUUUCGGUGGCUGAUGAAGCUGGAGGAAGUCCUCGGAUGUGUGGAGAUCCAUCAAAGGCAGCCAGCCCGUGUCUCCGGGUAGGGUGGCCGUGCAUGCUAGUCCCGCUAUUGGGGGAGCUGACUUUUCUCUGGGCAGCUGGUGGGUUUUACUUCUGUCACUUCCGGACUCUGAUUUUGUCCUUAAUAUGAAAAGUUUCC